UACAGAGGUCUCAAGCGUUGUUCGGAUUCAUUGGGCGUAAAGGGUGCGUAGGCGGCGCGGUAAGUCGGGUGUGAAAUUUCGAGGCUUAACUUCGAAACUGCAUUCGAUACUGCCGUGCUCGAGGACUGGAGAGGAGACUGGAAUUUACGGUGUAGCGGUGAAAUGCGUAGAUAUCGUAAGGAAGACCAGUGGCGAAGGCGGGUCUCUGGACAGUUCCUGACGCUGAGGCACGAAGGCAAGGGGAGCAAGCGGG
rnacentral:rRNA from 1 species